rnacentral:rRNA from 1 species
GCUUGGGAAUAUGCCUUGAGGUGGGGACAACAGUUGGAAACGACUGCUAAUACCGCAUAAUGUCUACGGACCAAAGGAGGGGAUCUUCGGACCUUUCGCCUUUAGAUUAGCCCAAGUGAGAUUAGCUAGAUGGUGGGGUAAAGGCCUACCAAGGCGACGAUCUUUAGCUGGUCUGAGAGAAUGAUCAGCCACACUGGAACUGAGACACGGUCCAGACUCCUACGGGAGGCAGCAGUGGGGAAUAUUGCACAAUGGGCGAAAGCCUGAUGCAGCCAUGCCGCGUGUGUGAAGAAGGCUCUA